rnacentral:rRNA from 1 species
UACGUAGGGGGGCAAGCGUUGUCCGGAUUUAUUGGGCGUAAAGAGCUCGUAGGCGGUUGGGCAAGUCACGUGUGAAAAUCUCCACGCUCAACGUGGAGGCGCCACGUGAGACUGCCCCUGACUCGAGUCCGGUAGGGGGAGCGUGGAAUUCCCGGUGUAGCGGUGAAAUGACGCAGAGAUCGGGAGGAACACCCCGUAGCGAAGGGCGGCGCUCUGGGCCGGGUACUGACGCUGAGGGAAGCGAAAAGCGUGGGGGGAGCAAAACAGG